rnacentral:rRNA from 1 species
UAUACAUGCAGUCGAGCGGACAGAUGGGAGCUUGCUCCCUGAUGUUAGCGGCGGACGGGUGAGUAACACGUGGGUAACCUGCCUGUAAGACUGGGAUAACUCCGGGAAACCGGGGCUAAUACCGGAUGCUUGUUUGAACCGCAUGGUUCAAACAUAAAAGGUGGCUUCGGCUACCACUUACAGAUGGACCCGCGGCGCAUUAGCUAGUUGGUGAGGUAACGGCUCACCAAGGCGACGAUGCGUAGCCGACCUGAGAGGGUGAUCGGCCACACUGGGACUGAGACACGGCCCAGACUCCUACGGGAGGCAGCAGUAGGGAAUCUUCCGCAAUGGACGAAAGUCUGACGGAGCAACGCCGCGUGAGUGAUGAAGGUUUUCGGAUCGUAAAGCUCUGUUGUUAGGGAAGAACAAGUGCCGUUCAAAUAGGGCGGCACCUUGACGGUACCUAACCAGAAAGCCACGGCUAACUACGUGCCAGCAGCCGCGGUAAUACGUAGGUGGCAAGCGUUGUCCGGAAUUAUUGGGCGUAAAGGGCUCGCAGGCGGUUUCUUAAGUCUGAUGUGAAAGCCCCCGGCUCAACCGGGGAGGGUCAUUGGAAACUGGGGAACUUGAGUGCAGAAGAGGAGAGUGGAAUUCCACGUGUAGCGGUGAAAUGCGUAGAGAUGUGGAGGAACACCAGUGGCGAAGGCGACUCUCUGGUCUGUAACUGACGCUGAGGAGCGAAAGCGUGGGGAGCGAACAGGAUUAGAUAC